rnacentral:rRNA from 1 species
UUGGUUAAGCUACUAAGAGCGCACGGAGGAUGCCUAGGCGCUAGGAGCCGAAGAAGGACGUGGCGAACGACGAAAUGCCUCGGGGAGCCGUAAGCAGGCUUUGAUCCGGGGAUGUCCGAAUGGGGAAACCCAGCUGGAGUAAUGUCCAGUUACUAUACAGUGAAUACAUAGCUGUAUGAGAGGCACACCAGGGGAACUGAAACAUCUAAGUACCCUGAGGAAGAGAAAACAAUAGUGAUUCCGUCAGUAGCGGCGAGCGAACGCGGAUUAGCCCAAACCAAGGAGCUUGCUUCUUGGGGUUGUAGGGCGUCUCACAUGGAGUUACAAAGGUGUUAGUUAGGCGAAGAGGUCUGGAAAGGCCCGCUAGAAGAGGUAAAAGCCCUGUAACCAAAAGUCAGCACUCUCCGAGACGUACCCUGAGUACCGCGAGACACGUGAAACCUCGUGGGAAUCCGGCAGGACCAUCUGCCAAGGCUAAAUACUCCCUAGCGACCGAUAGUGAAGCAGUACCGUGAGGGAAAGGUGAAAAGCACCGCGGAAGCGGAGUGAAAAAGAACCUGAAACCGUGCGCUUACAAAAGUCAGAGCCCUCUAUAUGGGUGAUGGCGUGCCUUUUGUAGAAUGAACCGGCGAGUUACGUUCCCAUGCAAGGUUAAGGUGAAGAGCCGGAGCCGCAGCGAAAGCGAGUCUGAAUAGGGCGACAUAGUAUGUGGACGUAGACCCGAAACCGUGUGAUCUACCCCUGUCCAGGGUGAAGGUGCGGUAACACGCACUGGAGGCCCGAACCCACGAAUGUUGAAAAAUUCGGGGAUGAGGUGGGGGUAGCGGAGAAAUUCCAAUCGAACUCGGAGAUAGCUGGUUCUCCCCGAAAUAGCUUUAGGGCUAGCCUCGGAGUAAAGAGUCAUGGAGGUAGAGCACUGAUUGGGUGCGGGGCCCGCCAAGGGUUACCAAGUCCAGUCAAACUCCGAAUGCCAUGUACUUAUAUCCGGGAGUCAGACAGUGAGUGCUAAGAUCCAUUGUCAAGAGGGAAACAGCCCAGACCAUCAGCUAAGGUCCCCAAGUGUGUGUUAAGUGGGAAAGGAUGUGGAGUUGCAAAGACAACCAGGAUGUUGGCUUAGAAGCAGCCACCAUUUAAAGAGUGCGUAAUAGCUCACUGGUCGAGUGACUCUGCGCCGAAAAUGUAACGGGGCUAAACACACCACCGAAGCUAUGGAUUGCAACGCAUGUUGCAGUGGUAGGGGAGCGUUGUGUAUAGGUAGAAGUCAGACCGUAAGGACUGGUGGACGGUACACAAGUGAGAAUGCCGGUAUGAGUAACGAAAAGACAAGUGAGAAUCUUGUCCGCCGUAAGACUAAGGUUUCCUGAGGAAGGCUCGUCCGCUCAGGGUUAGUCAGGACCUAAGGCGAGGCCGAAAGGCGUAGUCGAAGGACAACAGGUUGAUAUUCCUGUACCACCGUAAGCCGUUAUGAGCAACGGGGUGACGCAGAAGGAUAGUGACGCGAGCUGAUGGAAUAGCUCGUCCAAGCAAUGAGGCUUGUGUGUAGGCAAAUCCGCACACUCUAAGGCCAGGUUGUGAUGGGGAGGGAAAAUUACAGUACCGAAGGUCAUGAGUUCCCGCUGCCAAGAAAAGCCUCUAGCCAGGUGAAGGUGCCUGUACCGCAAACCGACACAGGUAGUCGAGCAGAGUAUGCUAAGGCGCUCGGAAGAACUCUCGUUAAGGAACUCGGCAAAAUGACCCCGUAACUUCGGGAGAAGGGGUGCCUCGGUAGGGUGAAUAGCCCGAGGGGGCCGCAGUGAAAAGGCCCAAGCGACUGUUUAGCAAAAACACAGGUCUGUGCGAAGCCGUAAGGCGAAGUAUACGGGCUGACGCCUGCCCGGUGCUGGAAGGUUAAGGGGAGUGGUUAGCCGCAAGGCGAAGCUAUGAACCGAAGCCCCAGUAAACGGCGGCCGUAACUAUAACGGUCCUAAGGUAGCGAAAUUCCUUGUCAGGUAAAUUCUGACCCGCACGAAUGGCGUAACGACUUGGGCGCUGUCUCAACGAGAGAUCCGGUGAAAUUUUAAUACCUGUGAAGAUGCAGGUUACCCGCGACAAGACGGAAAGACCCCAUGGAGCUUUACUGCAGCUUGAUAUUGGACUUUGGUACGAUCUGUACAGGAUAGGUGGGAGCCUUUGAAGCCGGAGCGCCAGCUUCGGUGGAGGCAACGUUGGGAUACCACCCUGAUCGUAUCGGAGUUCUAACCUGGUACCGUAAGCCGGUACAGGGACCGUGUCAGGUGGGCAGUUUGACUGGGGCGGUCGCCUCCUAAAAUGUAACGGAGGCGCCCAAAGGUUCCCUCAGAAUGGUUGGAAAUCAUUCGAAGCGUGCAAAGGCAUAAGGGAGCUUGACUGCGAGACCUACAAGUCGAGCAGGGACGAAAGUCGGGCUUAGUGAUCCGGUGGUACCGAAUGGAAGGGCCAUCGCUCAACGGAUAAAAGCUACCCUGGGGAUAACAGGCUUAUCUCCCCCAAGAGUCCACAUCGACGGGGAGGUUUGGCACCUCGAUGUCGGCUCAUCGCAUCCUGGGGCUGAAGUAGGUCCCAAGGGUUGGGCUGUUCGCCCAUUAAAGCGGUACGCGAGCUGGGUUCAGAACGUCGUGAGACAGUUCGGUCCCUAUCUGUCGUGGGCGUAGGAAAUUUGAGAGGAGCUGUCCUUAGUACGAGAGGACCGGGAUGGACGCACCGCUGGUGUACCAGUUGUUCCGCCAGGAGCAUAGCUGGGUAGCCAAGUGCGGACGGGAUAAGCGCUGAAAGCAUCUAAGCGUGAAGCCCCCCUCAAGAUGAGAUUUCCCAGUAUGUAAGACCCCUGAAAGACGAUCAGGUUGAUAGGUUCGAGGUGGAAGUGCAGCAAUGCAUGCAGCUGACGAAUACUAAUCGGUCGAGGGCUUAUCCUAAA